UUUGUUUUAAGAAAGGGAGAUGUGGUAUUAUACAUGUUGGGGGUAACACCCUAGUGGGGGAGACGUCAUGAGAGGCGGGCCCACUAAGUGGCGCAGUAGCGAGAGUUGAAGACUGUAUGUUUGUUUCCGGUGGUUGAAUAAACAGUCUACAGCACGUCCCGUCCCGGAGCCUUCUUGAAAAGCAACAUCACGACAAAAGAUUUGAUGGGAGAAAUUGCGGUUUCCUCGUAUCUGACCAAACCUUGAACCACAUCACCAGCAUCAUGCAAGUGAUAGCAACUCCUGGUGGGGAUGAACAUGAAACUCUUGGAGAAAUACAGCAACGGAUCCUUUGCAGUGAGAAUCAGCAGAAGAGGACUCUUUAAAAUGUUGGCACAGGUAUUCGCCUUUGGUAAUCUUGAUGUUGAGGAAGAUGGGAAGUGAAGGCAUGGCAGAGGACUGAUUCCAGCAGGAGGAACACGUGGCACACCUGCAGCAAACAUUAACACCUCCUCCAAGGUCACGGCGCUGUCAUCUUCUAAAGUAAAAAAAUUCAAAUUUAGGAUGCUUUUAGAAGGAUUUUUACCGUGUUUCACGCUUUUGAUACUGUUUCACAUUUUCACAAAUAAGAUGAAGGUUUCACAAAUCAGAAA